ACAGGGAUUGCCCCAGUAACGGCGAGUGAAGCGGCAACAGCUCAAAUUUGAAAUCUGGAGGGUCCGAGUUGUAAUUUGCAGAGGAUGCUUUUGGCGAGGGCCCUGGAACGGGACGCCAUAGAGGGUGAGAGCCCCGUCUGGUUGGACACCGAGCCUCUGUAAAGCUCCUUCGACGAGUCGAGUAGUUUGGGAAUGCUGCUCUAAAUGGGAGGUAUAUGUCUUCUAAAGCUAAAUAUUGGCCAGAGACCGAUAGCGCACAAGUAGAGUGAUCGAAAGAUGAAAAGCACUUUGAAAAGAGGGUUAAAUAGUACGUGAAAUUGUUGAAAGGGAAGCGCUUAUGACCAGACUUGGGCCCGGUGAAUCAUCUGGUGCACUUUGCCGGGCAGGCCAGCAUCAGUUCCUCGGGGGAUAAAGGAAUGUGGCUCCUCCCCACCGCACAAUACCCUGGGGCGGACUGAGGUCGCGCAUUGGUCAUCAGCGACCCGUCUUGAAACACGGACCAAGGAGUCGUCUUCGUAUGCGAGUGUUCGGGUGUAAACCCCUACGCGUAAUGAAAGUGAACGCAGGUGAGGCGCAUCAUCGACCGAUCCUGAUGUUCUCGGAUGGAUUUGAGUAAGAGCAUACGGGGCCGGACCCGAAAGAAGGUGAACUAUGCCUGUAUAGGGUGAAGCCAGAGGAAACUCUGGUGGAGGCUCGGUUCUGACGUGCAAAUCGAUCGUCAAAUAUGGGGCGAAAGACUAAUCG
rnacentral:rRNA from 1 species